CCUACGGGGGGCUGCAGUGGGGAAUAUUGGACAAUGGGCGAAAGCCUGAUCCAGCCAUGCCGCGUGUGUGAAGAAGGCCUUCGGGUUGUAAAGCACUUUCAGUGGGGAAGAAAGCCUUGGGGCUAAUACCCUCGAGGAAGGACAUCACCCACAGAAGAAGCACCGGCUAACUCCGUGCCAGCAGCCGCGGUAAUACGGAGGGUGCGAGCGUUAAUCGGAAUUACUGGGCGUAAAGCGCGCGUAGGCGGUCUGAUAAGCCGGUUGUGAAAGCCCCGGGCUCAACCUGGGAACGGCAUCCGGAACUGUCAGGAUAGAGUGCAGGAGAGGAAGGUAGAAUUCCCGGUGUAGCGGUGAAAUGCGUAGAGAUCGGGAGGAAUACCAGUGGCGAAGGCGGCCUUCUGGACUGACACUGACGCUGAGGUGCGAAAGCGUGGGUAGCAAACAGGAUUAGAUACCCGGGUAGUC
rnacentral:rRNA from 1 species